UUGAAAGACCAAAACAAAAGUCUGACAUUGAUACAAAAUUCUGAGAUAGAUUACAAAAAUUAGAGAAGAGUUAUGGCAAAGAAUGAAAUUAAAACAAUCAAAGUUGUGAUUAUGGUCAUGAUCAUGAUGGGCUUCGCGCAAGCUAAUCACAAUCCUCCAUUACCUCAAAUUGAUCCAAACAAUAUGCUCUUUAAAGGCGACUUAUGUUCUACUCUAUGUACCAUAAAAUGUGCUUUUACAAGUUUUACUAACCCCCAAUAUAAUCGAUGCAUUGAUAAUUGCAUUGAUAUAUGUUACAAAAAGCAUGUUGUCUACAAUUGUAUUACUAGUUGCGGCUUGACUAAGUCCAUUGAUAACAACAUCGAUGCUCGUGGUCUUCCAACUCAUGCCAUGGACUCUUGCUUCCAAAAAUGUUUAAACAAGUAAUUAUUUGUUACAAGAAUGUUCAAAUAAAAGGUUGAUAGGAGAAAUGAAAUUCAUUCAUCAACAUAAUUGUCAUAAGCAAUUCUAAUUAAUGUUCUCUUCAUAUA